UCCAUUAUCUCUUCUACAUACUCUAUAUCUGGUCCAUUAUCUCUUCUGCAUACUCUAUAUCUGGUCCAUUAUCUCUUCUACAUAAUAUAUAUCUGGUCCAUUAUCUCUUCUACAUAAUAUAUAUCUGGUCCAUUAUCUCUUCUACAUAAUAUAUCUCUGGUUCCAUUAUCUCUUCUACAUACUCUAUAUCAGGUCCAUUAUCUCUUCUACAUACUCUACAUCUGGUCCAUUAUCUCUUCUGCAUACUCUAUAUCUGGUCCAUUAUCUCUUCUACAUAAUAUAUAUCUGGUCCAUUAUCUAUUCUACAUAAUAUAUAUCUGGUCCAUUAUCUCUUCUACAUACUCUACAUCUGGUCCAUUAUCUCUUCUGCAUACUCUAUAUCUGGUCCAUUAUCUCUUCUACAUACUCUAUAUCUGGUCCAUUAUCUCUUCUACAUACUCUAUAUCUGGCCCAUUAUCUCUUCCACAUACUCUAUAUCUGGUCCAUUAUCUCUCCUACAUACUCUAUAUCUGGUCCAUUAUCUCUUCUACAUAAUAUAUAUCUGGUCCAUUAUCUCUUCUACAUGCUCUAUAUCUGGUCCAUUAUCUCUUCUACAUACUCUAUAUCUGGUCCAUUAUCUCUUCUACAUAAUAUAUAUCUGGUCCAUUAUCUCUUCUACAUACUCUAUAUCUGGCCCAUUAUCUCUUCCACAUACUCUAUAUCUGGUCCAUUAUCUCUUCUACAUACUCUAUAUCUGGUACAUUAUCUCCUCUACAUACUCUAUAUCUGGUCCAUUAUCUAUAUCUGGUCCAUUAUCUCUUCUACAU
ensembl:lncRNA